UGGACUUAAUCUGAGUAGGACUUUGAACCCAGAUAGAUCCUCAGGCUUGAGGAUUAUCAUAAUUUUAUUGUUAACUGUAUUUUUGUUGUUAUUGGCUAUUUUUAGUUUGGUUACAGUGCUCUAGUUUUCUUGCACAGGGGUGGGGCAUGUAGAUUGUGAGGUGAAAAUUCUGGAGAGGUGGAAUGUGGGGUAAAUUGCAGAAUUUCCAUAAUCCCCCACCUGGCCUUAGUCCAUUUUCAUAUCAAUAGGUAUUACCACUAGCUUCUGAGGCAAAAAGUGGAGAAAGAGCAGCCAUUCUUUCCUCCCCACCUCUAUUGCUGGUACAUAAUUGGUCAGGCAUCAGCCAGUCACCAAGGACCUGUCAAUGGAUUUUCUCCUGGAAGGGGCAGAAGGGAAGUGGAAAGCACACCAAGGUUUCAUGGAGGAUCAUCCUGGGUCAGGAAUAUCCUUCCCCCAGAGUAAAAAUGGGAUAGCACCCUUCGAAGAGGAAGAGAAAUGAACUUCAUUCCUUCUUUCUGCCAUGAAAAAGCUGCAAACAGAGUAUU